UCUCUUUUUUUUCUCUACAGCUUUAACUGCUUACACAUAUCUUACCAUUUUUGAUCUUUUCAGUUUGAUGACUUGCCUAAUAAGUUUCUGGGUGACUUUGAAGAAACCUAGUUCAGGGUACUCUUUCGGGUUUGAGAGGUUUGAAGUAUUAGCAGUGUUCGCUGCCACCGUCCUGGCACAGCUCGGAGCCCUCUUUAUACUCAAAGAAAGUGUGGAGCGAUUUCUAGAACAGCCUGAAAUUCAUACGGGGCGCCUCCUUGUUGGUACCUUUGUGGCCC